GACGAACGCUGGCGGCGUGCUUAACACAUGCAAGUCGAACGGAAAGGCCCUGCUUUUGUGGGGUGCUCGAGUGGCGAACGGGUGAGUAACACGUGAGUAACCUGCCCUUGACUUUGGGAUAACUUCAGGAAACUGGGGCUAAUACCGGAUAGGAGCUCCUGCUGCAUGGUGGGGGUUGGAAAGUUUCGGCGGUUGGGGAUGGACUCGCGGCUUAUCAGCUUGUUGGUGGGGUGGUGGCUUACCAAGGCUUUGACGGGUAGCCGGCCUGAGAGGGUGACCGGCCACAUUGGGACUGAGAUACGGCCCAGACUACUACGGGAGGCAGCAGUGGGGAAUAUUGCACAAUGGGCGGAAGCCUGAUGCAGCAACGCCGCGUGCGGGAUGACGGCCUUCGGGUUGUAAACCGCUUUCGCCUGUGACGAAGCGUGAGUGACGGUAAUGGGUAAAGAAGCACCGGCUAACUACGUG
rnacentral:rRNA from 1 species